AUUUGGAUCCAACAUGGAGGGGCGAAUGAUGAACACGCAGUAUUUGUCAAUAAUUAAGAUAAUUACAAUAAACUGAUUCAGGUGCUGCCGCCCCGAUUGGUUGCAGUUAAAUGCAGGCUGCUUUAUAAUCCCGACUAUAGCAAGCGAGUAUAUCGGGUUCUUUAUUAUAAAUACACAAACUGCAGCUUGUGGGUUGGUUGCUGGCUUUGGCACGAGGGAUGGGUAUUAUGGAUUUUAAACUCCUUUUAGGGAACCUUUUAAUGAGUGUCGGGACUGAUACUUCUGGAUGACGACUAAAAGAAGCUUCCUAAUUGGAGGGAGUUUUCGCUUCGCUAUCAUUGGUAAUGACGGCAUUCACUCUGGACGAUGCGUAAUCCGCAUCCUGUGGAUUUACCUUCUCCGUUAAUAUCCCCGGCGACCUGAUAUUCAGGGCUUCUUUCCUUGCUUGUCAUGUCUCCAGCAAGGCGAGUCCUGUGCGGUCACUCUUCACACGGCCAACUCCUACAUCCUGUGAUCAAGGGCUCUUGUACUGAAAAGAGCAUCGUCUUUUGAAGUGACGCGUGGGAACAUGGACCACCUCUGGGACAUAUAUACAUUGAGAAACACCAGCUUGCCUCUGAGCUGGCGGCUCAACAGGGCUACAUCGUCGCCAACCAGACCAAGUUUAGUCUAGAGGUGCCGCUCUUCAGUAUCGGCUGCAUGUAUGAGGUACACGUUUCUGGGGGCCUCUAGGGAUGUACUUGGCAGAGCCUCCCUAGAGGCUGAACUGGGUGUUGUAGGGUUACAUUCUCUAGUCCUGGAUUUGAGACUUUUCCUUGUUUGUGUAUUUGAGCAAACCUGAGUUAAAUCUGUAGAUAUCCCAGCAUGACUAGGUUGAAAAGCUUGUUCCUCUGUCUGGUGUGCCAUCAAACUGGGACGGCUAUUUUAAGGGGAUUUCCAGUGUCGCUUGUCUCCCUCUUCCCAGGAUAUCUCUCUCCGAGGCCUCUUUGUUCGAGUAGAACUGACCCUAAUCAAUAUUGAGACACUCGCGUUGGUGCUGUCGGCUGUACAGCGCUGUCAAUUUCCUACCAAGCAGCUGCUAGGUAAGUGGCUCCACCAAGUGGGCUUGACUUUCUGUCUUGGUGCUCUGCACCUCCCUGCUUCCAUGCCUUGCCAUUUAUACAUGUGUUGACUAAACAAGCUCUAAUAUACACUUUAGCCGUAUACCUGACUCCUUCUCCAUUGCUAUAGAGAAUAUUCCACUGAUCACAUUGCUUGCAGUUUCAGUGCAACAAACCGUAAUACCACUUACCCAAUUUCUAAAAUGGUCUACUUAGCCCUGGCCUCUUGGUCUGCAGACAAGCAACUGGCAUCAGCUAGGUGAUGUCUCUACUCCUAUUGGUGAAGGCUUCUACCAGUAAACCUGCACCAUAGCAUGAUCCUUUUAGACCAAUGACCUGGUCUUUGAGACUACAGAUAUGGCCAGAAGUUCUGCAUUACCUAGAAUUUUAGGAUUGAGUAAUAAACAGCAGUAUUGGACUUUGAGAUAUUGUUUGUCGGCUAAGUAUAUGGAGGGGGUAACUACAAAGCGCUGUGUUAUUUUAUAUGGUAAUAGUAUUUGGCAGGCUUUGUAAAUUAAUUCUACAGGAUGCUGCAGGACUUUUGGCAAUAGCUGAAGGUAUUGUUUAGAGGCCACUUGGUACACUAUUUGGUGUGGCAAUCUUUAACUGUUUCAUGCAGCAAGUUCUCAUUGAAUGCGUCAACUUCACCCCAUUCUCUUCAGCGUGCAUGCCUAAUGGUGUGAUGAUGGUGGUGGCUGUGACCAUAGAGCCCAUACCUGUAGUGGAACCCAGCAAGACAACCCUGCUGGAUAAGACCUGCAAACUCAAGAGUUUGAUUCAACUAGGGCUCUCUUCACCUUCAGUGGCAACACAUGUGGCACCAGGAGCAAGGCUGACAAUCCGUUGCCGCUACCACCUCAAUGACACCAUAACUGCUAGCUGAAAGGAAGGCUGUCCCUGCCCCCUACUCUGGAAGAGGUCUUGGAUCCCUGCAGUUCCAUCCUUACAGCUCUGAGCAGAGAGGCCACAAUAAAGCCAGAGGUGUCCUGAAUCUGAAGGCCCGUAUAGCAAGAGGUGGACCUCUGUCUUCACUCAAAGUUGGUGUACCAGUAAUCUGGCAUUUCAUCCCCAAAUAUAUUAAAGGAAAUAGGUGGAAUGUCACUCAUUUUUGGCAGUGGUUUUGUAUAAUAAAAUGGCAGUUUUGUCAUGGAAUUUUAAUGUAGUGAUUUAUUCAGUGUGAAGUGGUUCUUGGUACGCAAGCUGUGGUAUACGCUAUAUAUAUGGUCAUGUGAUGCUGUUUAACCAAUCGGAUGUUCUUCCAAGCCGUGUAGUUCGUUUCUUUUUAUAUAUAACAUUUUAAAAAGGAAAACUCUGUACCAUAAGGUGUUAAAUCAAAAAGAGAAAGGUAACAUAGGUACACAAAUGAACUGAUAAAUUGUAUCAGGACCUUUCGAACUACACAUGCUUCUUCAGCUGGAUGGAAAAAGCAGUAUGUAAACAAGUUGUCUUUCAAAAAAGUUCAGAAUAGAUGACUUCAGAAUGGAAUGUUCAUUCCAAGAGGUUCCAAAGUACUUAAUUUGAAAAAUGUCAUGCAACAGGAGCUGUAGAGAUGUUAAUUCUUAUACUUUGUAGAUGUUCCACAAAGUGUUCAGGUAAAUUGUUUGUUUUGUUUUUCACACAAUUAAUGCAGUAUACUAUUCCUUGACAAGUCUCAUGAAUAGUGAAUGAAGAUUUUGCCCCUUUUGAUUAUUGUGUUGCAUUGGAUGUAUUUACAAGUAGCACAGUGUGACCUGUUGCAUGUAUGAGGUAUGCUUUGUUGUAUUCAUUGCAGAAACACACAUUUUACUUGCAUUAAUUGAAAUGCAGGGUGUAGUGGUUUCUACAAUGACAAAUGCAGUGUUUUACAGGAAAUGUUUACAAAAUAACCACAGCUGUAUUCUGUCAAGCAAAUGUAUUGAAACACUUGCAUACAUAUUUCACAUUCCAUACCGUCCACGCAGGAUGUGUUUUACUCUUUAAAUGCAAUCAAAUGUACUGACAUGAUGUAGUUAAGCAAUUUAUAAAACUUUUUUUUUUUAUAUAAACUAAUGUGUUGAAAUACCCAAGAUCCCUGUUGGAUCUUAAAAUGCAUUCCACACUGUAACUGUAUGUUUAGUUGAACAGUCUAAGUACUCAUUUAAUGAUUUUAAGCUUCCUUGUACAGUAGUUCUGUUGAUCUGGAUAGUAUUGUGUCAUUGGCAUUUGUUUUUGAAUAUUGAUGGUUCUAAUUUUGUAUUUACAGCCAAGACAGGGGAAAUGUAUGUUACUGUACUAGACUACACAUUGAAGUUAAAUAAAGAAUAUUCAUACUGUGCAGUAAUUGCAGUGACCAAUACCCCUCCCCCUGCCCCACUUUAUCCCAUGGCCCUGUUAUUGUAUAGUUGAUGUUUCCAUGACUUGUUAUAAAUUGAGAUUUUCUACGGUUCGCUUCCCCUGCCGCGUUUGAUGUAUUGUGUGUGUUUUAUAUGUCAUAAAAUCCAAAACAGAUGACACUAAAUUCCAGGAAUAUAAAGCAUGCCAAUGCUACUUCAAAUGAACCCAUUUACAGAACCUAUGAAUGCAAACAUCAAAACUGUAUGGAAAUGGUUAUG